GAGGAUUGCGAUCGUGACCUGCAUGCAUAACGUGGAUUAUCACGAUCAAACCUGAUGAAUGGACAGUAACUAGUUUGAGUGAAUUGCUGAGCUUCAAGAUUCUUCACUAAAAUGCGUUCUCCGUGUGUAUCGAAGAUCACUACUGUUCGAAAAUGUACUAUAAAUGCAUCUGAACUCCAACAACAGUGAUCGCGAGGCUGAAUAAAAUCUAAAAUAAAGUUUAAGGUAAGAACAAAGUUCGUUAAUUUUACACAUCCCCGGCCUCUACAUUUAGCCCGAUAAGCUCCAAGGGGCUUAUAGGGAAAAUAAGGUAUUCUUCGACAUGUUAACGGUGUUUUGGGAAACGUCCGUUGAAGCAUUCGUAGUUACAUGCCAUUCUCCUCAAAUUAUUUCUUCUGAGACAACUUGACCAUAUCUAUUUCAGAAGAAACAUGGCCACGUGGACAUGAAUAUGGACUACAAUAUAAUUUGUUGAGGAGAAAAUCGAUAGCUGGACGGAAUGGUCCGAAUACGGGAUAUAUUAGGAGAAAUGGUGAUCCUGGAAUAGCCACAGAG